rnacentral:lncRNA from 1 species
AUGCUGCUGUACGUCGCCUUGGGGCUGCUCGUGCACCUCGUGUUCUUCGCCUCCAUCUUCGACAUUUAUUUCACCUCUCCUUUGGUUCAUGGAAUGACUCCUCGGUUUACGCCCCUGCCUCCCCCGGCAAAAAGACUGAUGCUGUUUGUUGCUGACGGCCUGCGAGCAGAUAAGCUUUAUGAAUUAGAUGAAGAUGGGAAUUCUAGGGCGCCAUUUCUUAGGAAUGUCAUAAUGAACGAAGGCAGCUGGGGGAUCUCUCACACGCAUGUGCCGACCGAGUCUCGGCCCGGGCACGUGGCCAUUAUUGCAGGGUUCUAUGAAGAUGUCAGCGCAGUUGCCAAAGGAUGGAAGGAAAAUCCUGUAGAAUUUGAUUCUCUUCUUAAUGAAACCAGGUACACAUGGUCCUGGGGAAGCCCAGACAUCCUGGCUAUGUUUGCCAAAGGUGACUCUGGAAACCAUAUUUUUACAGACAGUUAUGAUGCAUCCAGUGAGGAUUUUGGUGCCCACGAUGUAACAAAACUGGACACGUGGGUUUUUGAUCAUGUGAAGGAGUUCUUUCACGCUGCCAGAAACAACCAAUCUUUGCUUUCUAAACUAAACGGAGACAGAAUAGUCUUCUUCUUGCAUUUAUUAGGGAUAGACACAAAUGGACAUGCUCAUCGACCAACAUCAAGGGAAUAUUCAGACAAUAUUAAAUUAGUUGAUAAAGAAUUGAAAGAAAUUGAGGCUACUGUCAAAGACUUUUAUGGAAAUGACGGGAAAACAGCAUUUGUCUUCACCGCAGACCAUGGGAUGACCGACUGGGGCUCCCAUGGAGCCGGUCAUCCUUUAGAGACUUGUACUCCUUUUAUCGCUUGGGGAGCUGGAAUCAGGCUUCCCCAAAAAGUGUCAGCUCAGAACUUUGAUGACUCAUAUUUGCAAGAAUGGAAGUUGGAGAACUGGAAGAGACAAGAUAUUAAUCAGGCUGAUGUCGCACCGUUGAUGGCAGCUCUGAUUGGAGUUCCCUUCCCUCUUAACUCAGUGGGAAUCAUUCCUGUGGAUAUGCUUAAUACCUCUGAUCUCUUCAAAGCAGAGAGCAUGUUUACAAAUGCAGUACAGAUUCUUGAACAGUUCAAGGUAAAAAUGACUCAGAAAAAAGAAGCUACUUUGUCGUUUUUGUUUACACCAUUUAAGUCGCUAUCUGAUACUAAACAGGCCAACAUUUUAAGAAAAGCAAGAUACUAUAUAAAACAGAAGAAGUAUGAUGAAGCAAACCCAAGCCGUCUCCUGCCAUACACUUUUGUAGCCAUUGGCCUUUUCGUCGCGCUUCUACUGCUGAUUCAAGCCUGUCCCUGGACUUACUACGUCUACUGUUUGUUGCCGUUGCCAAUAUGGUACGCGGUUCUCAGAGAAAUCCCAGUUAUUCAAGGCUUUGUCACCGUACUGUUGGCCUUCCGUCCGUGGUGCUUCCUUGGAUACCUCUUGCUCUUUAUCCUGGGAGUUGAAGUAUUGGUGCUCAGCUUUUUCUACCGCUGCACGCUCACAGCGGGACUCGUCGCAUUCGCCGCUUGGCCGUUGAUCACGCCGCUGUGGACUCGAGCAAAGCGCACCUCGCUGAGUUGGAUUCUCUUCUGUUUCCUGCUGGCCGUGUUCCCGCUUUUGCCUGUCGUAGGACGAGAGCCAGACAUCUUCCUAGUAGUAGGUGCAGGCUUGCUGGUUCUUCUGCUAUCCCUGUUUGUUGUAACAUCUGUCAUAAAAAGAAACGAUAGUUUUAUAAAUGAAGAGCUGGUGUUACAUCUAUUACAGAUGCUGAGCAUCGUGCUUUCCGUGUGCGUUGUGUAUGGGACCCAUAAGAGUCUGCUCGAGAAACAGGGACUGCCGCUUCUCAAUCAGAUUGUUAGCUGGACAAUAUUAGCCUCCUCCUUCGUCACGCCUCUCCUGAGCCCUCCCGUCCUCUUCGAUCGACUGUUCAGCAUUCUUCUUGCCUCGAUGUCGACCUACCUACUUCUAAGUACUGGGUGCGAAGCUCUCUUUCCGUUAGUAUUGUCGUGUCUGAUGUUUGUCUGGAUACACCUGGAACAAGAAACCCUGCAGCAAUCUGCUGUUUCCUGUAAACAGAAGGUCUCCACCAUCCAGUUUGCCUGUAACACUGACAUGACCCAGUGUCGAGACCUCUACCUGGAUGACAUCCGCAGGGCCUUUUUCCUUGUUUUCUUCUUAGUGACAGCCUUUUUUGGAACUGGAAAUAUAGCUUCUGUUAACAGCUUUGACCCUUCCUCCGUCUACUGCUUCCUGACCGUGUUCAGUCCUUUCAAGAUGGGAGCCCUGAUAAUGUGGAAGAUUUUAAUCCCCUUUGUUCUUGUGAUGUGUGCUUUUGAAGCUGUUCAGUUAACUACUCAGUUAUCUUCGAAAAGCCUUUUCCUCAUGGUUAUCAACAUAUCAGACAUCAUGGCUUUGCAUUUUUUCUUCUUGAUCAAAGAUUAUGGCAGCUGGCUUGAUAUUGGAACAAGCAUCAGCCACUACGUGAUUGUCAUGUCCAUGACCAUCUUCAUGGUGUUUCUCAACUGCCUAGCUCAGAUGCUCACCACAAAGAAGCUCAGCCUGUGCGGCAGACCCAAAAGCCACGUCACAUAA